rnacentral:rRNA from 1 species
UACGUAGGGUGCGAGCGUUGUCCGGAAUUACUGGGCGUAAAGAGCUCGUAGGUGGUUUGUCGCGUUGUUCGUGAAAACCGGGGGCUUAACCCUCGGCGUGCGGGCGAUACGGGCAGACUGGAGUACUGCAGGGGAGACUGGAAUUCCUGGUGUAGCGGUGGAAUGCGCAGAUAUCAGGAGGAACACCGGCGGCGAAGGCGGGUCUCUGGGCAGUAACUGACGCUGAGGAGCGAAAGCGUGGGGAGCGAACAGG